ACCCGUAUAUCUAAUGUUUGUUAAGAGCUGGGUUCUUACCUCAGUAAUGUGAUUUGUCACUGCGGGUU
rnacentral:tRNA from 1 species